rnacentral:rRNA from 1 species
CACGUAGGGGGCGAGCGUUGUCCGGAUUCAUUGGGCGUAAAGGGCGCGUAGGCGGAUAUUUAAGUUGGGGGUGAAAUCCCGGGGCUCAACCUCGGAAUUGCCUUCAAAACUGGAUAUCUUGAGUUCGGGAGAGGUGAGUGGAACUCCGAGUGUAGAGGUGAAAUUCGUAGAUAUUCGGAAGAACACCAGUGGCGAAGGCGGCUCACUGGACGACUAUUGACGCUGAGGUGCGAAAGCGUGGGGAGCAAACAGG